AAAGAAUUAGUUUAAUUUUAAAAUAACAUUAAAUUGUCAAUUUAAAAAUAUUUAUUUAAAAAAUAUUCUUUU
rnacentral:tRNA from 5 species